rnacentral:lncRNA from 1 species
UUAGGAUUGGCUCUAAGUUGUCAAACUUGUUUUGGGAUGAGGGUUUCACACUAGAUCAACCAUAGUUGUACAUCUUGAUAGUUUAAGUUUGAUGCAAAAGUAGUGGAAGCCAUAGGUUAAGAUUUUAAGUUGACAAAUUCACUCUCUCCUCUUAAGCUACGAGCACCGAUUCCUUACAAACAUCCCUAACGUCUGGGAUGGCAUUCAUCAUUGAACGAGCGUAGCGCGCACUCAGGCAGUUGGCCUGUGCCACGAUGGUUGUGUUGUAUCGUUGCUAUAUGUUUCAAAGCGGAGUAAAAAAC